GGGCCUGUAGUCUAGUGGAUAGGGCGCCGGCCUCCGGAGCCGGAUAACAGGAGUUCAAAAUUCUCCUCAGGCCCGCCA
rnacentral:tRNA from 1 species